rnacentral:rRNA from 1 species
UACGGGGGGGGCAAGCGUUGUUCGGAAUUACUGGGCGUAAAGGGCUCGUAGGCGGUCUGUCACGUCGAAAGUGAAAACUCAGGGCUCAACCCUGAGCCUGCUUCCGAUACGGGCAGACUAGAGGUAUGCAGGGGAGAAUGGAAUUCCUGGUGUAGCGGUGAAAUGCGCAGAUAUCAGGAGGAACACCAGUGGCGAAGGCGGUUCUCUGGGCAUUACCUGACGCUGAGGAGCGAAAGUGUGGGGAGCGAACAGG